AUUGAACGCUGGCGGCAGACUUAACACAUGCAAGUCGAGCGGAGAUGAGGUGCUUGCACCUUAUCUUAGCGGCGGACGGGUGAGUAAUGCUUAGGAAUCUGCCUAUUAGUGGGGGACAACAUUCCGAAAGGAAUGCUAAUACCGCAUACGCCCUACGGGGGAAAGCAGGGGAUCUUCGGACCUUGCGCUAAUAGAUGAGCCUAAGUCGGAUUAGCUAGUUGGUGGGGUAAAGGCCUACCAAGGCGACGAUCUGUAGCGGGUCGGAGAGGAUGAUCCGCCACACUGGGACUGAGACACGGCCCAGACUCCUACGGGAGGCAGCAGUGGGGAAUAUUGGACAAUGGGCGGAAGCCUGAUCCAGCCAUGCCGCGUGUGUGAAGAAGGCCUUUUGGUUGUAAAGCACUUUAAGCGAGGAGGAGGCUACCUGGAUUAAUACUCUAGGAUAGUGGACGUUACUCGCAGAAUAAGCACCGGCUAACUCUGUGCCAGCCGCCGCCGUAAUAC
rnacentral:rRNA from 1 species